rnacentral:rRNA from 1 species
UACGUAGGGGGCAAGCGUUGUCCGGAUUUAUUGGGCGUAAAGAGCGUGUAGGCGGCCUGAAAGGUCAGCUGUGAAAACUCGAGGCUCAACCUCGAGACGUCGGUUGAAACCAUCUGGCUAGAGUCCGGAAGAGGAGUGUGGAAUUCCCGGUGUAGCGGUGAAAUGCGCAGAUAUCGGGAAGAACACCCGUGGCGAAGGCGGCACUCUGGGACGGUACUGACGCUGAGACGCGAAAAGCGUGGGGGAGCGAACAGG